AUUAUUAAUCAAAAAAGCCGUAUCAAAAAUGUAUUUUCAAAUUUUUUUGUACUACUAUAUUUUAUCUAGAGGUAUCAAGCGGAUCAGAAGGUAUAAAAUAAUCAUUGAAAAAAAAUUGUCAUUAUUUUUUAUCACUUUCAAACUAUUUUGAGGGUAUACUGCUCGUAGAUAAUCGGAUACUCCAUAAGAAGAUAGUCGAUCAACCGAUCUUCUUAUGGAAGGAUUGUUACCAAUGUUCGAUUCUCUCAUUAUCCUUUUCUAUUCGGCUCAGACGAACCUACAUUACAAAGAAUGAAAGAAAAUUCUUGGAAAACAAAGAGCUCGAGUUACCACAAAAUUCGAU
rnacentral:sRNA from 1 species